CAGCAGCCGCGGUAAGACGUAGGGGGCAAGCGUUGUCCGGAUUUAUUGGGCGUAAAGAGCUCGUAGGCGGCUCAGAAAGUCGGGUGUGAAACCUCCAGGCUCAACCUGGAGACGCCACCUGAUACUGCUGUGGCUAGAGUCCGGUAGGGGAACACGGAAUUCCCGGUGUAGCGGUGAAAUGCUUAGAUAUCGGGAGGAACACCAGUGGCGAAGGCGGUGUUCUGGGCCGGAACUGACGCUGAGGAGCGAAAGCGUGGGUAGCAAACAGG
rnacentral:rRNA from 1 species